UACGUAGGGUGCGAGCGUUGUCCGGAAUUAUUGGGCGUAAAGGGCUCGUAGGCGGUUUGUUGCGUCGGGAGUGAAAACUCAGGGCUUAACCCUGAGCCUGCUUCCGAUACGGGCAGACUAGAGGUAUGCAGGGGAGAACGGAAUUCCUGGUGUAGCGGUGAAAUGCGCAGAUAUCAGGAGGAACACCGGUGGCGAAGGCGGUUCUCUGGGCCUGUACUGACGCUGGAGGAGCGAAAGCGUGGGGAGCGAACAGG
rnacentral:rRNA from 1 species